UUUUUAUAACUUUAUUAUUUUUAUAUAUUGAUAUUAAUUAUUAAAUUAAUAAAAUUAUUAGUUUGGGGUGAAUUAAAAAUAUAAUAAACUUUUUAUUAUUUAAAUAAUAAUUUUUAAUUUAUUGAUCCAAUUUUUUUGAUUAUAAAAUUAAGU
rnacentral:rRNA from 1 species